AGGGGCAUAGCUCAAUUUGGCAGAGCACCGGUCUCCAAAACCGGCGGUUGUGGGUUCGAGUCCCGCUGCCCCUGCCA
rnacentral:tRNA from 2 species